rnacentral:rRNA from 1 species
UACAGAGGAGCCAAGCGUUGUCCGGAUUGACUGGGCGUAAAGCGCACGCAGGCGGAUGCGCGCGUGGGGUGUGAAAUCUGGCCGCUUAACGGCCAGGCGCCAUCCCAUACGGCGCGACUGGAGCCAUGCAGAGGGCGGUGGAAUUGCCGGUGUAGUGGUGAAAUGCGCAGAUAUCGGGAGGAACACCAAUGGCGAAGGCAGCUCGCUGGGACGUUACUGACGCUGAGACGCGAAAGCGUGGGGAGCAAACAGG